AUUGAACGCUGGCGGCAGGCUUAAUACAUGCAAGUCGAACGAGUGGCGGACGGGUGAGUAAUGCUUGGGAAUCUAGCUUAUGGAGGGGGAUAACUAAGGGAAACUGUAGAUAAUACCGCGUACCAUAGGUUGAGCCCACGUGGGAUUAGGUAGUUGGUGAGGUAAAGGCUGACCAAGCCGACGAUCUCCAGCUGAGCUGAGAGGAUGACCAGCCACACGGGGACUGAGACACGGUCCAGACUCCUACGGGAGGCAGCAGUAGGGAAUAUUGCGCAAUGGGUGCAACCUGACGCAGCCAUGCCGCGUGAAUGAAGAAGGCCUUCGGAUUGUAAAAUUCUUUCGUUAGAGAGGCGUUAACUACAGAGGAAGCCCCGGCUAACUCCGUGCCAGCAGCCGCGGUAAUAC
rnacentral:rRNA from 1 species